GAUGAAGAACGUAGCGAAAUGCGAUAAGUAAUGUGAAUUGCAGAAUUCCGUGAAUCACCGAAUCUUUGAACGCACAUUGCGCCCCCUGGCAUUCCGGGGGGCAUGCCUGUCCGAGCGUCAUUUCUGCCCUCCAGCCCGGCUGGGUGUUGGGCGCUGUCCCCCCGGGGACACGCCCCAAAGGCAGUGGCGGCGCCGCGUCGGGUCCUCGAGCGUAUGGGGCUUUGUCACCCGCUCGGGACGGACUCGUCGGCGCUGGUCUUCCUCCAGGCGACCCUUCGGGGCUCGUCUUCCUUCGGUUGACCUCGGAUCAGGUAGGGUUACCCGCUGAACUUAAGCAUAUCAAUAGCGGAGGA
rnacentral:misc_RNA from 1 species